AUAUUGUGACAGUCCAGUCCAUAGUGGAUCUAACAUAAUAGUGUCAGAGUCCAGUCCAUAGUGGGGCCAGCAGGAGACCAUUUUGAGCGGACACGGGUCAGCAGUGCAAAGAUGUCCCCAACCGAUGCACAGGCGAGCAGUCCACUCCAGGUCCCGAAUCUGGACAGCCAGCACUUCAUCCAUGACCACCGGACCUGUGCCCCCCCUUCCACAAGAGAGAGGGGGGAAGAGGAGAAAAGAAAAGAAACAGCAGAUCAACUGGUCUAAAAAGGGGGUCUAUUUAAAGGCUAGAGUAUACAAAUGAGUUUUAAGAUGGGACUUAUAUAUAUGUAUAUGUGUGUGUGUGUAUAUAUAUAUAUAUAUAUGUGUGUAUAUAUCUAUAUAUAUAUAUGUGUACAGAGGUGGGUAGUAACGCGCUACAUUUACUCCGUUACAUCUACUUGAGUAACUUUUGGGAUAAAUUGUACUUCUAAGAGUAGUUUUUAUGCAACAUACUUUUACUUUUACUUGAGUAUAUUUAUAGAGAAGAAACGCUACUUUUACUCCGCUCCAUUUAUCUGCAAUCAGGUCGCUACUCGCUACUUUUUUUUUUUUUAUCGAUCUGUUAAUGCACGUUUGGUUUGUUAUGAUUUUGUCAGAUAUGCAUUCAAAGUAGGAACUACGCAUGACUGCUUUUCACCAAUCAAAUGCAGUCACUGGUGACGUUGGACCAAUCAAACAGAGCCAGGUGGUCACGUGACCGUCACACUUAGAACCCGACAUGUUGAAAAACUUAUUGGGGUGUUACCAUUUAGUGGUCAACUGUACGGAAUAUGUACUGUACUGUGCAAUCUACUAAUAAAAGUUUCAAUCAAUCAACCAAUCAAUCAAAAGUGUGAAGGAAAAAAGACACUUUUUUAUUUCAACCGUACUUCCCGUCAAAAGCCUAAAGACCGAUCACACAAUUCCUGUCUUCACAAUAAAAGCGCCGCUCCAUCGCGCCUGCGCUAACAAAAUAAGAGUCUCCGGAAGCCAGAGCAAACAAGCGACCAAGCUACGGAGUUUGCCACCAAUGCAUUUCUUGUAAAGUGUAUAAAAACGAAUAUGGAAGCUGGACAAAUAAGAUGCCAAAAACCAACGACUUUCAUGUGGUAUUAGACAGAAAAGAGGAACUUUUUUUCUCCUCCAUUUGAAAACCGGGACGUUAUCAGCACUAUACUGUCUGAUUCCAAUCAAUGCAAGUCAUCAGAAUCAGAACUGUUUCAUGAGGGGUUCCCUCAAUCAUCAGGAGAAUCCAGCUUGCUAGCCUCAACCUGAACCUUGGUAUUUACCGUGAUGACGGACUGGCAGUGUGCCGCGCCUCGCCAAGGAGCAGCGAGAACACCAAGAAGCGCAUAUGCCAAAUCUUCAAAGAAAACGGCCUACGGAUCACGAUUGAAGCCAACAAGCAAACCGUCAACUUCCUCGACGUCACGUUCAACCUGAGAAAUAACAGCUACCAACCAUUCACGAAACCCAACACAACACUCCAAUACGUGCACCAUGACAGCAACCACCCACCCACCACCACGAAAAGAAUACCUACCGGAAUUAAUAAAAGGCUAUCGAUGCUGUCAUCUAGCAAAGCUGAAUUCGACCAAGCAACCCCCCCGUACCAGAAAGCACUUGAUGAAAGCGGAUACAACUUCACCCUCACCUAUGAACCCACUCCAGGAAACCAACCAAAAAAGAGCAGAAAACGAAACAUCAUCUGGUACAAUCCGCCA